UGUUAGAUUGGUGCAAAAGUAAUCGCGGUUUUUGCCAUUAAAAUUAAUGGCAAAAUUACUUUUAAAAAUUACUUUUGCACUAACCUAAUAUCAU
rnacentral:miRNA from 1 species